rnacentral:rRNA from 1 species
CCAGACUCCUACGGGAGGCAGCAGUGGGGGAUAUUGCACAAUGGGGGGAACCCUGAUGCAGCGACGCCGCGUGGGUGAAGGAGCGUUUCGGCGCGUAAAGCCCUAUCGGCAGGGAAGAAGGAGGACGGUACCUGACUAAGAAGCCCCGGCUAACUACGUGCCAGCAGCCGCGGUAAUACGUAGGGGGCAAGCGUUAUCCGGAUUUACUGGGUGUAAAGGGGGCGCAGACGGCAGCGCAAGCCAGGAGUGAAAGCCCGGGGCCCAACCGCGGAACUGCUUUGGGAACUGUUUUGCUGGAGUAUGGGAGGGGUAAGCGGAAUUCCUGGUGUAGCGGUGAAAUGCGUAGAUAUCAGGAGGAACACCGGUGGCGAAGGCGGCUUACUGGACCAUAACUGACGUUGAGGCUCGAAAGCGUGGGGAGCGAACAGGAUUAGAUACCCUGGUAC